rnacentral:lncRNA from 1 species
UGCACACAAUGCAUGUAUAUGUAUACCAGUAUCAAUAAAGCUAUUAUCUUUCUCACGGGUUCCAUUUUUUGUCUAUAUAAACCAACACAAUUUGCCCACAUAUCUAUCACUUCACACAACUAUAUUUGUUUUGCUAUCUGUCCAUGUUUCUCUUUACUCUCUCUUCUUCUUCUUCUUCUUAUUGGUCCCUUGAUCUUGUGGAUGUCGAUCCACUAUUUCCUUUCGAGUGAGUACUGGCUGUUUGGUUACAAACAUAGGACGAAAAUGAAGACAACGUUGGAUAUUUGAAGGCGCUAUCUAUGCUGAGCUUGUUUAUGUUUCUUGCUUUGUGUGGUCUUGUUUUCUUGACCUUGCAAGGCUUUAAUUUCUUCCAUCCUUCUUUCUAGUUUUUAUUAGGUUUUGCAUUAUUUUAUUUCUUUAUCUUUAUCCCGUUAAAAUCUCCCAACUUCUCUAUCUUUGUCUAUUCCUCCUGAGCUUCCACUGAUAUUCUGUGGUAAUAUUACUCGCGUUUUGGGUGAUGAAUAUUUUCUCCACUAUGCUAUUUUAGGUUCUGUAGUUUUUUUCUUCCUUUCAAAAGAAUCAGUUUUUAAGUACUUGUAAAUUCAGCACUUGUAAAUAUUGUACUUCUGACCUGUUUUGCUAUCUUUAAGGAUUGUUUUGGUUAAUCAGGAUUUGAUAGAUGGAUGUCGAUUACUUUAAGUUGCAAAAUGACUAUCGAUUUGACGUAGGUAUAAGAAUUGUAAUGUAAUGUAAAACAAUCUUUGUAGUUGCCGCCCAACAAAUUAGGGGUGGGCUAAAGUAUCGAAAUUAAUUAGGGAUAUGUGUAAUAUGGUUCGAUUCUCUUCAAAAUCGAACCUACUUGAGAACCAAAGUCAUCAUAUAAUGGAACCAUUCAUUUCAUAUGUAAUUAUGGAAACCAGUUAUUAAAUUAAUAAAUAAACACAAUUCAUUGAAAAAAACUAGAUUGGGUUAGAAUCGAUUCUUUGUUCUAGUAGAUAGUAAAACUAAGAGUUGGUUCGAUUUUGGUUCGGUUCUCAAUUCAAGUUCUAGAAUCGUAAAAUUGAUAGUCAUUUUUAAAUUUUGGGGAUGGUGCAUGGAAAAACUGAAGAAGGUUUCUAUAUCGUGGUUUGCAGUUCAUGUUAUCAGGAGUUUGUUUGCAAAAAAAAGGGAGCAUAUCUUGAUGGGUUAGCGUCUAAAGUACCUGACUGAAUUGUGACCUUUCUGUAUAGGCUUGCUUUAGAUUUAGUGCUGUUUUUAUUUGUUGAUUCUUGUGCUAAUUCUUUGUUUUGAUAUAUCAUAUGUUUGAUAAAGCAAGACUGAGUGAAAACUUAGCAAGUUUGUCAAGAAUAGCGAAUGUAACAGUCAAAGAAGAUCGACAGUUGAUUCUUUUGCUUCAAACGUACGCUCAAUGAGUUGUAGGCAUAUCUUGGAGUCAAGAAUUUUGUUUGGGUAUCCCGUUGUUGAACCAUCCGAAGUAGUUAGACAUUGAAAUUACUAAUAUAAUACUUUAUUUGUAUUUGUUUUUAUUUUAGAGAUAACCACGUUUGUCAAUAAUACUUUGGUCUAUAUUUAUUUGGUUGACUGGAAUGUGAUUUUUUAUUAAUUUAUUUUGAUAUCAUUUAUAUUUUAAUAAUUGUACAUUGAAACAUUCUUUUCAUAAAAUCAGAGUUAUUUAUAAUGAAGUAAGUUACGU